AGAAUGCUAUAAAAUCGAUAUUUUUUAUUAUCUUUUAAAUUAAUGUUCAUUCACAACAAUUUCUGAUACUAAUACAGUGCUUUACGGCGCGUGAGUACUUUGGUUUGAAGUUAAAAAUGGCGACGCAUACUUGCCGUCCCAUCAUAGUUGGAUGCGACUAAGCAGAGGUUUCAUCAAAACAUGAAGGAAAUAUUUAUUAUCAGGUGACAGCAACUGCGUGGCCAAUUUUCAAAGAUGAUUGGCCGACGCUGUGCUCUCAUCGCUUUGGGCGGUCUUUUGAUUCUUGUCCUUAGCGUCAAUGUAUAUUUUAUUCGAAUGAUUGUAGAGAGCUCGUCGCACAAAACUUCUUCUAAAGGCAUGCCUAUUUCGCAAUUAAAGCCGGAACAGGAACAGUUAAUAUCUCAAGCGGAACAAAAUUUACAAGUUUCGCAAAAAUCAGUUGCGAAAGAUAUGAUAAAAAAGAUUAAAGAGGAGAUACAGUUAUUACCGUCAAGAUAUUUUAAGCAAAAUACUAGCUAUGUAAUAGUAUUGGAAAGAUUAUUUACUGAAUUAAGGAUAAUGCCUAAUGCUGUUCAAAAAAAUAUAUGGAGUAUACCUAACAAUAAUUGGCCUGAUGCCCAUCAGUUAAUACCACCGGUUGCGCCUGAAUUAGGAACAAUUUUAGAUAUCUUGCGUAAAUCAAAAGUGAUGCGUGCAGAUAACGCACCACUUGGUACGCAAUUGAAAUUGAUGCUAACUUUAGAACACGGAACGAAGGCGAUGUUCAAGCCUCAAUGGUAUUCUAGGGACGCUAUUAUUCGAGGACCUGUUUAUCAUGGAAAAGAUCGACACAAUGCCGAAGUAGUAGCGUUCUAUUUAUCUUCCUUACUGGCCUUAAGAAGAGUGCCACUUACUGUUAUAAGAAAACUUGACUUAAGGAAUGAAAUUCGGCCUCGUGCAACGCCUGAACUUUAUGCUACUAUGUAUCAAGAUGGUAAUGAUACUUGUUUGUAUGGUGUUUGUCAUUAUUGCUCUCCCGUGGAUCCAGUGUGUGGAGUAGGAGAUAUUUUAGAAGGUGCUUUAAUUUCUUGGUUACCACGAUAUCUAAGACUUGUAAAACAUCGUCAUCCAUGGCAAAGGACAUAUAAAAAAAACAAGCUUGCAGCAUGGGAAACAGAUGAUAACUAUUGUGAAAAAGUGAAAGACACUAAAGCAUAUUCUCCGCAAUCGUCGAGCAGGCUUUUAGAUUUAGUAGAUACUGCGAUUUUUGACUUUUUGAUGGAUAAUGGUGAUCGCCAUCAUUACGAAUUAGCACAGAAUAAUUUUCAUAAUCCAGCUGUGUUGUUAAUUGAUAAUGGGAAAAGUCUUGGAAAUCCUGAUAUAGAUCAUUUUGAUAUUUUAGCACCUUUGUAUCAGUGUUGUAUGAUUCACAAAACUACAUGGGAUCGUUUGAAAUUAUUUAGUGGUGGUACAUUAAGCAUAGCUCUUGCAAGACUUGCUGCUCAUGAAUCCGUAAUGGCUGGUGUUCAACCCCUUAUUACAGAAGCUCAUUUAAGUGCCAUGGAUAGAAGACUACUUACUAUUUAUGCAGUUGUAGAAUAUUGUUUGAAAAAUAAGAAGUAUGCUUCCAACGUUAUUUUAGACCAUCGGUAGCCUAUAUAUAUAUAUAUAUAUAUAUAUGUAUAUAUUUUAUCCAAUAUUUAGUAUGAACUUUAAUGCUUAAGAUGUUAGGAACACAUUCAUAUUUUAUAAAUGAUAUAGGUGCAAACAAUACUUUUUUAAUGUCAUUCCAGUAAAGUUCGUUGAAAUUUAAGACUUAGUAAAAUAUUGCUGGAUUAUUUAUAUUUACUACUUAAUACUCUUAUUACUUCAUAUUUAUGCACAAGUACAGUGUAAAGGAUUGUACAUACGAUUACCGUACAAUGUGGAAGAUGAAGUUGGUUAAAAAGAACGGUCGAAUUAAUCCAACCAUAUGAAGUUUAGUGUGAUUUAUUUGAUGACACAAUAAUUAUCGUUAUUUGGAUAAAGGUCCAGUGCAGCGUCGUACAGCGUAUAAAUACGGUACAAACGUAAAAAACCUGUAAAUGUGACUGUAUAAUUAUUACAUGCACAUCGUAUUCAUGGACAUUGUGAUACUGAUCAAAAUCUGAAAUCGACUUCAAGGUUUAUCAAACAUGUACACUAUGUAUAUUCGGCGUAGCCUGUGCUAUUUUCUGUUAUUUUGGCUUCUGGCAGUUGGUACGUUGCAAUCUGAUAAAUUGCACAUAAAGCAUUCAAUUCCUUUGCUUUCCGUCUCUUUUUUCUUUUAUACACUUUACACGCCAUAACCAAAAUUGAUCUUGCAGGCUACUAUGGGACUUCGAAUCAAAUUUGCAUCUAGCGUCAUCGUACAUUCCAUUCGUAUUUUGUAUUUACAAUGUUACAUGACCAGAAUAUUACUCACGUAUCUUACUGGCUAAUUAUAAACUUUAUUCGUAACAUAAAUUUAGCGCCAUCAUCGUUAGGUUGUGUGUAUAUAUAUAAUAUAUUAUAUUAACAUUUUUUAAUUAAAUAGAGAUUUCGUAGCAAAGUAUGUAUAAA